CCCUUAGAUGUCCGGGGCCGCACGCGCGCUACAAUGGAUGAAUCAACGCGUCAUCCUGGCCCGAAAGGGUUGGGGAACCGCUGAACCUCAUCCGUGGUUGGGAUUGGGGUUUGUAAUUAUUCCCCAUGAACUAGGAAUUCCCCGUAAGCGCGAGUCAUAAGCUCGCGUUGAUUACGUCCCUGCCCUUUGUACACACCGCCCGUCGCUACUACCGAUUGGAUGGUUUAGUGAGAUCCUCGGAUUGGUCACGGCACGGUGGCAACACUGCGUCGGUGUGCCGAGAAGACGAUCAAACUUGAUCAUCUAGAGGAAGUAAAAGUCGUAACA
rnacentral:rRNA from 1 species